AUUCAUAUAGUUUAUUAAAACAUUUUAUUUUCGUUAAAAAAAAGAUUAUAUAGUCUAUGAAUU
rnacentral:tRNA from 1 species